rnacentral:tRNA from 1 species
ACUAGGGUAGUUUAUAAAAACACUAUAUUGUGGUUAUAGAGACGCACCGGCCCCUAGUA